CCUACGGGUGGCUGCAGUGAGGAAUAUUGGUCAAUGGGCGCGAGCCUGAACCAGCCAAGUCGCGUGAGGGAAGACGGUCCUAUGGAUUGUAAACCUCUUUUGUCGGGGAGCAAAAGACGCCACGCGUGGCGUUCCGAGAGUACCCGAAGAAAAAGCAUCGGCUAACUCCGUGCCAGCAGCCGCGGUAAUACGGAGGAUGCGAGCGUUAUCCGGAUUUAUUGGGUUUAAAGGGUGCGCAGGCGGAAGAUCAAGUCAGCGGUAAAAUUGAGAGGCGCAACCCCGCCGAGCCGUCGGAACCGGGGGCCUUGAGUACCGGAGAAGUACGCGGAAUGCGUGGUGUAGCGGUGAAAUGCAUAGAUAUCACGCAGAACCCCGAUUGCGAAGGCAGCGUACCGGCCGGUCACUGACGCUGAGGCACGAAAGCGCGGGUAUCGAACAGGAUUAGAUACCCGUGUAGUC
rnacentral:rRNA from 1 species